UGAUCAUGGCUCAGAUUGAACGCUGGCGGCAGGCUUAACACAUGCAAGUCGAGCGGAGAGAGGUAGCUUGCUACUGAUCUUAGCGGCGGACGGGUGAGUAAUACUUAGGAAUCUGGCUAUUAGUGGGGGACAACAUUUCGAAAGGGAUGCUAAUUCCGCAUACGUCCUACGGGAGAAAGCAGGGGAUCUUCGGGCCUUGCGCUAAUAGAUGAGCCUAAGUCGGAUUAGCUAGUUGGUGGGGUAAAGGCCUACCAAGGCGACGAUCUGUAGCGGGUCUGAGAGGAUGAUCCGCCACACUGGGACUGAGACACGGCCCAGACUCCUACGGGAGGCAGCAGUGGGGAAUAUUGGACAAUGGGGGGAACCCUGAUCCAGCCAUGCCGCGUGUGUGAAGAAGGCCUUAUGGUUGUAAAGCACUUUAAGCGAGGAGGAGGGUACUGGUAUUAAUACUACCAGGUACUGGACGUUACUCGCAGAAUAAGCACCGGCUAACUCUGUGCCAGCAGCCGCGGUAAUACAGAGGGUGCGAGCGUUAAUCGGAUUUACUGGGCGUAAAGCGUGCGUAGGCGGCUAAUUGAGUCGGAUGUGAAAUCCCCGUGCUUAACUUGGGAAUUGCAUUCGAUACUGGUUAGCUAGAGUGUGGGAGAGGAUGGUAGAAUUCCAGGUGUAGCGGUGAAAUGCGUAGAGAUCUGGGGGAAUACCGAUGGCGAAGGCAGCCAUCUGGCCUAACACUGACGCUGAGGUACGAA
rnacentral:rRNA from 1 species